ACGUCAACGUCCUUGUCUUUCCCGCCUAAUAUACCGCCGUCGUCAGCUCACCCUUUGAGGGAACCAUAGUAAGCAAAAUUGGCACAGCCCAGUACGUCAGGUCGAGGUGUAGCUAAUGAGAGGGGAUGAGAUGGGCUACAUUUCCUAAACAAGGAAAUACGAAUAAUGAUUCUGAAACGAGCAUUAGAAGGAGGAUUUAGUAGUAAGUAGAAAACAGAGUGUUCUACUGAAUUGGCCACUUAAGCGCGCACACACCGCCCGUCACUCUCCCCAAGCUAAACAAAAUUUAUUCCUAAAACCCCUAUCUGCAACAGGGGAGGCAAGUCGUAACAUGGUAAGUGUACCGGAAGGUGCACUUGGAAAAAU
rnacentral:rRNA from 1 species